GUUGCAACAGCAAGACUAUAGCCUAUUAUAUGGGGUCACAUGUGAACAUAUAAAGAGACAUCUCUCCUCAAGAUUGAGAGCUCAGAAGGGAUCCUCGGGAAGCUGGUCUGUGAAGAUGUGACAAGGUGAUUUCAGAUGUAACAUCUGGGAUUUUAAAGCAUUUAAAUGAAGACUUUGGCUACAGCCUGUAUCUGCACAAGCAGAAAUGACAAGCCUUGUGACAGUGCCUCACCUUCACAAGGAAGUCAGCAGAGCUUCUGCCCACCUGGAGUUCAAGCCAAGUGAACAGAAAUAUGUCAGCAAAAACCCAGAGGGACAGUGUGCCCCCAGUCAAAGCGCUAGAUGGACUACAAACAGACGAAAAAGGACAACCUGCAGAAGCUUACAGUUCAGGAAAAGGCACGGCAGGCAAAUCUGCAACCACACUUUCCAGCAUGAAAAUACCAAGCCAUGUACCAGUGAACUGAGGUUCGGAGGUGUGCACAGCCCUAGACAGUCCUCAAAGCUCAUGGAACCUGCUGCGCACAUACCCCCAUGGACACAUCCACCUUUGUGGGGUGCCCAGAAAAGUGGCACAGGCACUGAAGUGAUGGAGAUAACUUGCAUGGAAUUCAAAAUACUGACCCUUUUUGCAAAAGCUGUAAGAUUUACUGAUGAAAAUCGCUCCCUAACAGUCUCUGCUCUCCUCUCGCCAGAAGUUGGUGCUCAUGCUACAACGGUGCCAAGCUGUCGGUGCAGCAAAAUGGAGAGAAGCAGGCUUGAGACGAGCAAACUCAGUCCGUUUGUGACUUUCUGUAGCAAACUCCUUCUCCUCUGGGCUGUAAGACAAAUGGUUUAAUAACCCAGAAUGCUGUGCUCUUUGCUUCAGCAAAGUUGAAUCUCUGCAUUCAGCCUUAUUCACAGGUAUCUCCAACAACCUCCCGGGAAAAUGUUGAACAAAGGAGAUCAUGGCUUGGAGGCCUGGGGCUGGCCUUGCUUUGUUUGCUUUUCAUUGUAAAGCUUAUCUUGCUGUGUCAUAUGGUUAAAAACUGGAGCCUUGCCUCCAAGAUAGCAGUGGGAAGGCAAGAAAAGCUUGUGCGCAUUUGUCUUCAGGUCAGUUUUAUAAAUGAGUGUACCGAUGCAGCCCCCAAAAAAAUGCAAGGGAGAAACUAUGAGCAAGAGAGAACAAGUCCUAACUUCUCUCCCAUCAUGUGGUUUUCUGGAAGUGAAAAAUCUGAACGGUGCUCUCAUGCUCUCUCACCAGAGAACUGGCUGCACUCCAAUAAUGAAGUGCUGGACUGGUACCUCUGCUGUGAGACAGCGAGCCCAGCCCUGGCUAGCCUGGCUGGACUGCAUUUGGAAAAUGAAACCAGGUCUUCGACACAGUUCCCACCUGCCCAGGAUCUUGGGAUGCCCUAGUAGUCCCAGGGACAGUAAGCCAAGCCUGUUAGAGAUAUCAAAUCAGAAUCGGGGGGCUGAGGGUGAGAAGUUCAGUGGAAAGAAGGCACCACAGCCCACAGGGUGCAAUGUCCAAGUGGGGUGCCAAAGGAGAGGGAAGAAGUUUUUGAAAUCAAGUAGGGCUCACCCAGUGUUCACCCACUACUUAGUAGCAGGAAACACAGAAAGAAUUCCUGCUGUGUCCCAGGAGAAUUCAGCUGAGGCCACAGCUUGCGCCUGAGCUGGCACACUGAUGGGCAGCAAUUGCUUCAGAUCUCUUUCGGCCAGGGCAGGUGGCACAUGCUGUGGCUCCGCUUGCUGCAGCUCCGCUCACAGGGUCACAGAGCACAGCGGUGUGGUGUCCAUCGCAGUGCUUUGCUGUGAAGCAUGGCAGCAUCUGCGUCUUCUUCAGCAAAGCGAGGAUUAAUUUUACCCAGCUUUACCCAUGUAAAAGUUUAGAUGUCUAAGCCAGUGAUUUAGCCUUCCUCUACAGGCUGUGAAGAGAAAGGGAGACAUCUCCAGAGGAUGAGUCACUUCUUCCUAUGUACAGUGUCUAAAGUGGGUGGGAUGACUCAUCCUCCAAAGGUAACAGUCUCUCUUUCUAUGGCUUAAAUGACUAGUGUCAACUGAAAACCUAACUUUUUGGUGGCAGAAAUUAGCCAUCUUCACUGUUACCUGCAUUCAUCUGAAGUUAUUUUCAAAACUCAGAGUGAGGUGAGAAGGCUUACUUCUCAGUAGAUGGCCCCUUCAAAGGACCAUUUUGUUCUUUCUCCUGGGAUCUGCACAUCUUUGCCCUUCAGAAAUGGUGCUUAAAUGGUUUGCUCAAGUUACAUGGAGUCAGAGAAACUAAAGCCUGUUGGAAACAUAAAGAGAAGUCACUUGACCCAUCCCCAAUGCACAGACAGAAAGCUGCCGUUAAGUUUUGUUAUCCUUAAUGUUUCCUCCUUUCAACAGUGCCUUCCAACAGUCAGUAAGAAAAUUUCAGUUGUCUUCAAUGGGCUUUCAUCCAAGCCUGCAGAGAGAGCAACAGAGAAAAUACAGCUGCAGAGGCAAAUCAACAGAGGGGAAAGGUAAUGACAUGAGAGAGGCAAAAAAUGUAAUUGUGAGAGGGGAGAGAGAGGGAAACAAAGAGAGGUGUUUUAAAGAUUGAGCAGUGGAGGAACACAGAGGCAAUGCUUAGCGGAGAGGAGAUCUGGGCAGGGGGAGAGGGACAAACCUGUACCCUUGAAAUACGCAUCUCUUCAGUGCUGCUGCAUCACUUCCAUUUGAAAAUGCCUAACUGCUCUUCAGUUUAAUCAUUGCUGCACUUUUGGGUAUAAGAUGAAUAAUUAAGCCUGGGAGUAGAAUACAGCAAGUGUUAAUAGGGCAGAAGCUACUGCAAAGUCCUUAUAAAAAGCUGUGCUUGCAGCACAAAGUGGCUGCUGUUCUCUGCGUCCCCAAUCACGAAGUGAGGAGCAUGAAAGUACUAAAUUAAAUGAAGUGCAUCUGUAUCCAUUCUCCUGGACUUUUUUUCCCCUGCGUUUGAUACUAUCGCUUGCUAAAUAAUACCCCAUCUCUAGCAAAGGAUGAACAAUGUAAUUUUAAAUUGCCCUUCCAAAUCAAACCAGGACAGACAACCUGCACAGCCCACCCUGCCGUGCCUACACCCACGGACUCUCACAAGCACAGCCUUCUCCCUUACCUAAGUUAAUGUUUAAAGAAACUAUCUGGUGCCUUAAAGAGACAACUCAGCCUGAAGUGGCAGUGUUACAGAGUUCAUCCUCUUUGAUGAGUUCAAGAUUGCUUCCUCUUGCUGUCAGAAGAUAAAAAAUGAAGAAAUAAACACCCACUUCAAACCAUGAGAGACAACAAUUACACAAUGGCCAAGAAGACACUGGGCCAGCUCCACUGUCCAAGCGCCUUGUGGUACCAGCUCGUGCGUACAGCAAGAGAAGGUGCAGCAAGGAAAGACUAUAAAUGGAAUAAGACACAGCUGUUAAUCCAGGUACAAAGCAAGUUAUUGUGGUUUGCUGCUCUGUAUGCUGUUUCGCCUCAAUCUGAAAUGCCUCUCUUUCCCUGAGCGUGCUUCUGCCUCAGCCUGCGGACCACCAGGACCACAAAACAGUAGCUCAAAAGAAAACAGGUCAUAUCUGAAUCACCCAAAACCUGUUCAGAGACAGUGUUGUUCAUUCCUGAGAGAUCAGACUGAGUGUCACGCUAAACAGCAAAUGCAAAAAUCCUCUUUCAGGUCUUCAUUUUCUGUAUGCACCCAAUUAAACAGUGCUAUAUAAACUAUUCAAAUUAGACUGGGAAGGAAGAAAGACAAAUAGUUAUUUUUAAGUACUUGGGAGAUGUUUGGAAAUGGGAGGUCAUAAAGGUAAAGAGGGAAGUCAAUAAAUAGAAAGGAGGAAAUUAUUUUUAACCAUUGCAGAUAAGGUAUUUUUAGAGCAAUCACCUGAAAGCUCCCUGAACGACACAGGAUGAUAAGCACUGCCCAACACAGCAGCAAUCAUGGGAGCUGAGUUACAGCCUGGCUCAAACCCUUGUUCCCUUGCUUCUUUCAAGUGAGUUUCAGUGAAAAGAUUUUUUUUCUUUUCCUUUUUUCCCCACCUCCUGUCCUCACUGCUAUCACUGAGGGUACCUCAGAGAAUCUGGCUCGUGUAUGGACAUCUGAGGAAAUUUUCAGUUAUUGCUAAGUGGGUAUUUCCCCCCCUCUUUGGUUUGUUUUUCAUCCUUUUCUUUUUGACUGGUGUCCUCUCACCUUUGCACUAAGUGGAAGAGAUGAAAAGCUGAGCCUCCACAGGCAAGCAUGUGUGAAAAGAAACCAGAGCUGAUGUCCAAAGGGACUGGAGGACCUUGGGGCCAGGGGGAUACAUCUCUGGCUGAAAAAUCAUCAAGGGAUGCCACACACAGGGCAGGGGUGCUGCCAGAGGAACAUCGCCCCUAUCCAUCCCUGCAAUGAACCUCCCUGCUGCAGGCAGCAGAUGCAGGCAGAGCUGCCUGGGGAGCCUGUGUGGGUUUUUCUGUGGGAGGACAGAGGGAUAUCACUGGAUUUUUAAGUUCACUUUUGGUCCUCACAGUCUGGGGAAAAUAGCUGUCUUGGAGCCAUCUUCCCAUCUGCUAUCUUAAGCUGAACGUCUUCCUGCAUCUUCCCGGUCAUUGACACCGAUGGUGCCUCUGCUGUCCAGAUUUUCCAGAGUGAGGGCAAUGAGAAGGAUCAAAGCAAAACAGAGAAGAUGUCAAAUGAUAAAUAUUUGACUUUGAAACAUGAAAAAGAAGAUGAAGAGCAGCAUCAAGGGAAUCAGUCUCUUGGGAUGUCCUGCAUUCUGAAUGCACAUUUUGUACUGCUAAGAUAGGAGUUGUGAAUGCAGUGUGUGGGUUUUACAAGAAAAUAGAAUCAGCCAGAAGAGAAGACCUCUGGGAAAUCACAGAAUGUGUGCAUGCUUUAUGGUUUGUAUAAAAUUAAAUGAUCUUUUUUUUCUUAGAGAUAUUGAUCCUUGUUCUUUUAUUAUUAUUAUUAUUUAUUU